rnacentral:tRNA from 2 species
AGUGGGAUGGCUGAGUUAUUAGGCGGUAGGCUGUAAAUCUAUUUAGGGGCAUUAAUGUGUUCUUCCACUA